CAUCUCCUGAGCCUCAAUGGCCUCAUCGGGGCUUAUUGGUAUGUGAAUAUCCAAACCAAUAGCUCCUCUUGUUCUAUGUGUCUGUGCUAUUUGCUGGAGGUCCAGCAGGCAGUGAGAGUGGUCCUAUAAAGCUGGUAAAGAUAAUAUGUGACUGCAGAGAUUUAACCUAAUGGGAGUAGACAACAUGUGAAUCUUACUGAUAUUGAACUAUUGGAGCCAAGAUUAAAAUGCUGAAUUACAUUUAAAAUAUCAAUUGCAUGAUUGCUUUCAAAACCAUUUCUCCAAAAUCUACCCACUCAGGUGAAGCCUUGGGAAAUGGGAGGAAAAAAGGAAGAAUCUCACCAUCACUACAUGGGUAUUUCUUCAAGUUUUGACUUUCUUCACUCAUCAAUCACUUAAUGUUUAUUUUCGAGAGUCCUUUGGGAGUUUAUAUUUGUAAUCUGUUGGCAGAUUUUAGUCAGAGAAAGUUAGAAAGAAAACUUGAAGUGGAAUAAAUUUUUCUUGGCUUGUAGUAAAAUUCUUA
rnacentral:lncRNA from 13 species